GUGGGGAAUAUUGGACAAUGGGCGAAAGCCUGAUCCAGCCAUGCCGCGUGUGUGAAGAAGGUCUUCGGAUUGUAAAGCACUUUAAGUUGGGAGGAAGGGCAGUAAGUUAAUACCUUGCUGUUUUGACGUUACCGACAGAAUAAGCACCGGCUAACUUCGUGCCAGCAGCCGCGGUAAUACGAAGGGUGCAAGCGUUAAUCGGAAUUACUGGGCGUAAAGCGCGCGUAGGUGGUUUUGUAAGUUGGAGGUGAAAUCCCCGGGCUCAACCUGGGAACUGCCUCCAAAACUGCAUGACUAGAGUACGGUAGAGGGUAGUGGAAUUUCCUGUGUAGCGGUGAAAUGCGUAGAUAUAGGAAGGAGCACCAGUGGCGAAGGCGACUACCUGGACUGAUACUGACACUGAGGUGCGAAAGCGUGGGGAGCAAACAGGAUUAGAAACCCGUGUAGUCC
rnacentral:rRNA from 1 species